rnacentral:rRNA from 1 species
AUUGAACGCUGGCGGCAUGCCUUACACAUGCAAGUCGAACGGCAGCACGGGAGCAAUCCUGGUGGCGAGUGGCGAACGGGUGAGUAAUAUAUCGGAACGUGCCCAGUCGUGGGGGAUAACGUAGCGAAAGCUACGCUGAUACCGCAUACGAUCUAUGGAUGAAAGCGGGGGAUCGCAAGACCUCGCGCGAUUGGAGCGGCCGAUAUCAGAUUAGGUAGUUGGUGGGGUAAAGGCUCACCAAGCCGACGAUCUGUAGAUGGUCUGAGAGGACGACCAGCAACACUGGGACUGAGACACGGCCCAGACUCCUACGGGAGGCAGCAGUGGGGAAUUUUGGACAAUGGGCGCAAGCCUGAUCCAGCAAUGCCGCGUGCAGGAUGAAGGCCUUCGGGUUGUAAACUGCUUUUGUACGGAGCGAAAAGGCUUCCACUAAUACUGGGGGCUCAUGACGGUACCGUAAGAAUAAGCACCGGCUAACUACGUGCCAGCCGCCGCGGUAACAC